rnacentral:rRNA from 1 species
AAAAAAGGUAAGCUACUAAGAGCAAAUGGUGGAUGCCUUGGCUAGUAGAGGCGAUGAAAGACGUGCCAGGCUGCGAUAAGUCUCGGGGAGCCGUCAAGGGGCUUUGAUCCGGGAAUUUCUGAAUGGGGCAACCCAGUAUAUAGUGAUAUAUACUACCGCAAUGCGGAGCUAACGUUGGGAAUUGAAACAUCUUAGUACCAACAGGAAAAGAAAUCAAAAGAGAUUACGCUAGUAGCGGCGAGCGAACGCGUAAGAGGGCAAACCGUUAGUUUACUAACGGGGUUGUAGGACUGCAACAUAGACUUAAACAAACUAAUAGAAUAACCUGGAAAGGUUGGCCAUAGAGGGUGAUAGCCCCGUAUAUGAAAGUGCGUUUAUACUUAGCAGUAUCCUGAGUAGGGCGGGACACGUGAAAUCCUGUCUGAAGCUGGGGAGACCACUCUCCAACCCUAAAUACUACUACUAGACCGAUAGUGCACAAGUACCGUGAGGGAAAGGUGAAAAGAACUGAGGUGAUCAGAGUGAAAUAGAACCUGAAACCAUUUGCUUACAAUCAUUCAGAGCACGAUUCUUUAUGACGUGUGAUGGACUGCCUUUUGCAUAAUGAGCCUGCGAGUUGUGGUGUCUGGCGAGGUUAAGGAAACCCGGAGCCGUAGCGAAAGCGAGUCUUAAUAGGGCGUAUAGUCAGAUGCUGCAGACCCGAAACGAUGUGAUCUAUCCAUGAGCAGGUUGAAACUGGUGUAAGAGCCAGCGGAGGACCGAACAGACGGCCGUUGAAAAGGCUCCUGAUGACUUGUGGAUAGGGGUGAAAGGCCAAUCAAACAUCGUGAUAGCUGGUUCUCUCCGAAAUAUAUUUAGGUAUAGCGUUGUGUCGUAAUUAUAAGGGGUAGAGCACUGAAUGGGCUAGGGCAUAUACCAAUGUACCAAACCCUAUCAAACUCCGAAUACUUAUAAUGUAAUCACAGCAGUCAGGCGGCGAGUGAUAAAAUCCGUCGUCAAGAGGGGAACAACCCAGACUAACAGCUAAGGUCCCUAAAUCUCAUUUAAGUGGAAAACGAUGUGGAGUUACUGAAACAACCAGGAGGUUGGCUUAGAAGCAGCCAUCCUUUAAAGAAAGCGUAAUAGCUCACUGGUCUAGUGAUUCUGCGCGGAAAAUAUAACGGGGCUAAAAUGAGUACCGAAGCUUUAGACUUAGUUUUUAACUAAGUGGUAGGAGAGCGUUCUAUUCAGCGUUGAAGGUAUACCGGUAAGGAGUGCUGGAGCGGAUAGAAGUGAGCAUGCAGGCAUGAGUAGCGAUAAUUGAUGUGAGAAUCAUCAACGCCGAAAACCCAAGGUUUCCUACGCGAUGCUCGUCAUCGUAGGGUUAGUCGGGUCCUAAGCAAAGUCCGAAAGGGGUAUGCGAUGGAAAAUUGGUUAAUAUUCCAAUACCAAUUAUUAUGUGCGAUGGAAGGACGCUUAAAGUUAGUGGAGCUAGCGGAUGGAAGUGCUAGUCUAAGGGUGUAGGUUGAGUUAUAGGCAAAUCCGUAACUCUUUAUCCGAGACCUAAAAGGCUCAUGACGCUCUUCGGAGUAGAUUGAGAAUCCAUGAUACUAUCGAGCCAAGAAAAGUUUCUAAGUUUAGUAAUAAUUGCCCGUACCGUAAACCGACACAGGUGGGUGGGAUGAGUAUUCUAAGGCGCGUGGAAGAACUCUCUUUAAGGAACUCUGCAAAAUAGCACCGUAUCUUCGGUAUAAGGUGUGCCUAACUUUGUAUUAAGAUUCACUCCCAAAGCAAAGAAGGUUACAACAAAGAGUCCCUCCCGACUGUUUACCAUAAACACAGCACUCUGCUAACACGUAAGUGGAUGUAUAGGGUGUGACGCCUGCCCGGUGCUCGAAGGUUAAUUGAUGAUGUUAGCUAUGCGAAGCAUUUGAUCGAAGCCCGAGUAAACGGCGGCCGUAACUAUAACGGUCCUAAGGUAGCGAAAUUCCUUGUCGGUUAAAUACCGACCUGCAUGAAUGGCGUAACGAGAUGGGAGCUGUCUCAAAGAGGGAUCCAGUGAAAUUGUAGUGGAGGUGAAAAUUCCUCCUACCCGCGGCAAGACGGAAAGACCCCGUGGACCUUUACUACAGCUUGACACUGCUACUUGGAUAAAGAUGCGCAGGAUAGGUGGGAGGCUUUGAUCCAUAGACCCUGGUUUAUGGUGAGCCAUUGUUGAGAUACCACUCUUCUUUAUUCGGGUAGCUAACUAGCCUAAGUUAUCCUUAGGUAGGACAAUGUCUGGUGGGUAGUUUGACUGGGGCGGUCGCCUCCCAAAAUGUAACGGAGGCUUACAAAGGUUGGCUCAGAACGGUUGGAAAUCGUUCGUAGAGUAUAAAGGCAUAAGCCAGCUUAACUGCGAGACAUACACGUCAAGCAGAGACGAAAGUCGGUCUUAGUGAUCCGGUGGUUCUGUGUGGAAGGGCCAUCGCUCAAAGGAUAAAAGGUACCCCGGGGAUAACAGGCUGAUCUCCCCCAAGAGCUCACAUCGACGGGGAGGUUUGGCACCUCGAUGUCGGCUCAUCGCAUCCUGGGGCUGGAGCAGGUCCCAAGGGUAUGGCUGUUCGCCAUUUAAAGCGGUACGCGAGCUGGGUUCAG